rnacentral:rRNA from 1 species
AUUGAACGCUAGCGGGAUGCUUUACACAUGCAAGUCGAACGGAGUGGCGAACGGGUGAGUAAUGUAUCGGAACGUGCCCAGUAGCGGGGGAUAACUACGCGAAAGCGUAGCUAAUACCGCAUUCUAUUGGAGCGGCCGGUAUCGGAUUACCUAGUUGGUGAGGGAACGGCUCACCAAGGCGACGAUCCGUAGCUGGUUUGAGAGGACGACCAGCCACACGUGGGCUGAGACACGGCCCAGACUCCGACGUGAAGCAGCAGUGGGGAAUUUUGGACAAUGGGGGCAACCCUGAUCCAGCCAUCCCGCGUGUGCGAUGAAGGCCUUCGGGUUGUAAAGCACUUUUGGCAGGAAAGCGGUACCUGCAGAAUAAGCACCGGCUAACUACGUGCCAGCAGCCGCGGUAAUAC